CUCUGUGACUCCUACGGGAGGCAGUCAGUGGGGAAUAUUGCACAAUGGGGGAAACCCUGAUGCAGCCAUGCCGCGUGUGUGAAGAAGGCCUUCGGGUUGUUAAAGCACUUUCAGUAGGGAGGAAGGUAGUGUAGUUAACACCUGCAUUAUUUGACGUUACCUACAGAAGAAGCACCGGCUAACUCCGUGCCAGCAGCCGCGGUAAUACGGAGGGUGCGAGCGUUAAUCGGAAUUACUGGGCGUAAAGCGCAUGCAGGCGGCCUGUUAAGUCAGAUGUGAAAGCCCGGGGCUUAACCUCGGAAUUGCAUUUGAAACUGGCAGGCUAGAGUCUUGUAGAGGGGGUAGAAUUUCAGGUGUAGCGGUGAAAUGCGUAGAGAUCUGAAGGAAUACCAGUGGCGAAGGCGGCCCCCUGGACAAAGACUGACGCUCAGAUGCGAAAGCGUGGGGAGCAAACAGGAUUAGAUACCCUGGUGG
rnacentral:rRNA from 1 species